rnacentral:rRNA from 1 species
UACAUGGGGGGCAAGCGUUGCUCGGAAUUAUUGGGCGUAAAGCGCACGUAGGCGGUUCGUUAAGUCAGAUGUGAAAGCCCCCGGCUCAACCGGGGAAGUGCAUCUGAAACUGGCGAGCUAGAGUACGAAAGAGGGUCGCGGAAUUCCCGGUGUAGAGGUGAAAUUCGUAGAUAUCGGGAGGGACACCGGUGGCGAAGGCGGCGACCUGGGUCGAUACUGACGCUGAGGCACGAAAGCGUGGGGAGCAAACAGG